rnacentral:rRNA from 1 species
AGUGAACGCUGGCGGUAGGCCUAACACAUGCAAGUCGAACGGCAGCACAGUAAGAGCUUGCUCUUACGGGUGGCGAGUGGCGGACGGGUGAGGAAUACAUCGGAAUCUACUUUUUCGUGGGGGAUAACGUAGGGAAACUUACGCUAAUACCGCAUACGACCUACGGGUGAAAGCAGGGGAUCUUCGGACCUUGCGCUAUUGAAUGAGCCGAUGUCGGAUUAGCUAGUUGGCGGGGUAAAGGCCCACCAAGGCGACGAUCCGUAGCUGGUCUGAGAGGAUGAUCAGCCACACUGGAACUGAGACACGGUCCAGACUCCUACGGGAGGCAGCAGUGGGGAAUAUUGGACAAUGGGCGCAAGCCUGAUCCAGCCAUACCGCGUGGGUGAAGAAGGCCUUCGGGUUGUAAAGCCCUUUUGUUGGGAAAGAAAAGCAGCAGGUUAAUACCCCGCCGUUCUGACGGUACCCAAAGAAUAAGCACCGGCUAACUUCGUG